AUACGGAGGAUCCGAGCGUUAUCCGGAUUUAUUGGGUUUAAAGGGUGCGCAGGCGGCCAUUUAAGUCAGCGGUUAAAUCGUGGGGCUCAACCCCAUUCUGCCGUUGAUACUGGGUGGCUUGAUUGCGGUCGAGGUUGGCGGAAUUCGUUGUGUAGCGGUGAAAUGCAUAGAUAUGACGAAGAACACCGAUUGCGUAGGCAGCUGACCAGACCGCAAAUGACGCUCAUGCACGAAAGUGCGGGGAUCGAACAGGAUUAGAUACCCUGGUAGUCCGCACAGUAAACGAUGAAUACUUGUUUUCGGCGAUAUAAUGUCGGAGGCAAAGCGAAAGCGAUAAGUAUUCCACCUGGGGAGUACGCCGGCAACGGUGAAACUUAAAUGAAUUGACGG
rnacentral:rRNA from 1 species